rnacentral:rRNA from 1 species
AGUGAACGCUGGCGGCAGGCCUAACACAUGCAAGUCGAGCGGCAGCGCGGGGCAACCUGGCGGCGAGCGGCGGACGGGUGAGGAAUGCGUCGGAAUCUGCCUUUUUGUGGGGGAUAACGUAGGGAAACUUACGCUAAUACCGCAUACGACCUACGGGUGAAAGUGGGGGACCGCAAGGCCUCACGCAGAAAGAUGAGCCGACGCCCGAUUAGCUAGUUGGUGAGGUAAAGGCUCACCAAGGCGACGAUCGGUAGCUGGUCUGAGAGGAUGAUCAGCCACACUGGGACUGAGACACGGCCCAGACUCCUACGGGAGGCAGCAGUGGGGAAUAUUGGACAAUGGGCGCAAGCCUGAUCCAGCCAUGCCGCGUGUGUGAAGAAGGCCUU